AUGUUCGAUCACCGUUUCAUUCCAUCCUAUAUACAUACAGACAUGUUGUUUGGUAAUUUCAGCAACAUCAAAUUUCUCUGACUCGGGUUAAUUGCUACAAUAUGGAAUCAGGUUUCCCGCUGCUGUGAAGAUCUUUUACUGUUCGAAUUUGCAAAUUAUAGCGCAAGAAAAGAAGCUCGAAUAUCAAAGUGAGAGAUGAUGCUCCUCUGUUAUGGAUACUGCCUUUGAUGGGUGGCCAUUUCCGAUGAUUCUUAAAGCUAGACAACAAAAAUACCAUGGAGCUAGAGAGUUGUUAU